GACUGACCAUAUGCCCCAGAAAUACUCCGGAUGUAGCUCCAAACAGACAUUUCACCGGGUUGAGCUUUAAAUUGUACUUUCGAAGUCUAAGGAAGAACUUCUCAAGUGCUGUUGUAUGUUCUUCAGCUGUUUUUGAUUUAACAACCAUAUCGUCCACAUACACUUCUACUUCUUUGUGAAUCAUGUCAUGGAAGAUGGUCGUUGCCAUUCUUUGAUAGGUUGCCCCGGCAUUUUUGAGCCCAAAAGGCAUAACCCUGUAGCAGUAGGUUCCCCACUCCGUGAUGAAUGCCGUUUUCUCUUUGUCUGGCAAAUGCAUCAUUAUUUGAUUGUAUCCGACAGCAAGAUCGGUCAAGGAGACCAUCUCGUGUCCAGCCAUUCGGUCCACCAACAAGUCAAUAUAUGGCAGGGGGAAGUCAUCCUUCGGACAUGCUUUAUUCAAAUCCCGGUAAUCCACACACAUUCUGACUUUGCCAUCUUUCUUCGGCACCGGCACAAUAUUUGCUAACCACGUCGGGUAGGCAAUGGGUUCUAUGAACUUAUUCUCCAGUUGCUUGGCUACUUCCUCCUUGAUUUUCAAGGACCAUUCGGUCUUCAGCCUUCUUAGCUUCUGCUUCACUGGCUUAGCCUCGGGAUAUACUGGAAUCUUGUGCACCACUAUUGCUGGGUCAAUUCCCGUGAUGUCACUUGCCUUCCACAUGAAGCAAUCGGCAAACUUCUUCAAGCAUUCAAUGACCUGUUCCCUGUUCACACAGUCAGAUGCAAUGUAUGUAUGUUCAUUUUCUUCUUUGCCAAUUAUUAUUUUUUCUUUUUCAUUUUUUAUUUCAUUUAUAUGAUUAUUUUUGCUUGGAAAUGCUUGGAAAGAUAGACACGCGGGGUAGCCAAUAAUUUGCAAGUCGGAUGUAGCUCCAAACAGACACUUCACUGGGUUGAGCUUUAAAUUGUACUUUCGAAGUCUAAGGAAGAACUUCUCAAGUGCUGUUGUAUGUUCUUCAGCUGUUUUUGAUUUAACAACCAUAUCGUCCACGUACACUUCUACUUCUUCGUGAAUCAUGUCAUGGAAGAUGGUCGUCGCCAUUCUUUGAUAGGUUGCCCCGGCAUUUUUGAGCCCAAAAGGCAUAACCCUGUAGCAGUAGGUUCCCCACUCCGUGAUGAAUGCCGUUUUCUCUUUGUCUGGCACAUGCAUCAUUAUUUGGUUGUACCCGACAGCAAGAUCGGUCAAGGAGACCAUCUCGUGUCCCGCCAUUCGGUCUACCAACAAGUCAAUAUGCGGCAGGGGGAAGUCGUCCUUCGGACAUGCUUUAUUCAAAUCCCGGUAAUCCACACACAUUCUGACUUUGCCAUCUUUC
rnacentral:lncRNA from 1 species